UCUAACAUGUGCGCGAGUCAUUGGGACUGCGAAGCCUAAAGGCGCAAUGAAAGUGAAGGUCGAUCUCAGCGUCGACCGAGGGAGGAUGGCUCGCGUCACGAUGCGAGUCCGCACUCCCGGGGCGUCUCGUGCUCAUCACGAGCAGAGGCGCACCCAGAGCGUACACGUUGGGACCCGAAAGAUGGUGAACUAUGCCUGGUCAGGACGAAGUCAGGGGAAACCCUGAUGGAGGUCCGUAGCGAUUCUGACGUGCAAAUCGAUCGUCGGAACUGGGUAUAGGGGCGAAAGACUAAUCGAACCAUCUAGUAGCUGGUUCCCUCCGAAGUUUCCCUCAGGAUAGCUGGCACUCGCGUGAGCGAGUCUCAUCUGGUAAAGCGAAUGAUUAGAGGCCUUGGGGCCGAAACGACCUCAACCUAUUCUCAAACUUUAAAUGGGUGAGAUCUCUGGCUUGCUUGAACGUGAAGCCACGAGAU
rnacentral:rRNA from 1 species